rnacentral:rRNA from 1 species
AUACGGAGGGUGCGAGCGUUGUUCGGAAUUAUUGGGCGUAAAGAGCUCGUAGGUGGAUUAUUAAGUCUUAAAGUAAAUAUUCAGGCUCAACUUGGAUAUCAUUUGAGAUACUGUUAGUCUUGAGGGCAGAAGAGGAAAGUGGAAUUCCUGGUGUAGGAGUGAAAUCCGUAGAUAUCAGGAGGAACACCGGUGGCGAAGGCGGCUACCUGGACCGAUAUUGACGCUGAGACGCGAAAGCGUGGGUAGC